rnacentral:rRNA from 1 species
ACGGAGGUUGCGAGCGUUGUUCGGAAUUACUGGGCGUAAAGGGAGCGCAGGCGGUCCGGUCAGUCUAAAGUGAAAUCCCGGGGCUUAACCUUGGAAGUGCUUUGGAUACUGCCGGACUUGAGUACGUGAGAGGAGAGCGGAAUUCCAGGUGUAGCGGUGAAAUGCGUAGAUAUCUGGAGGAACACCUGUGGCGAAAGCGGCUCUCUGGCACGAAACUGACGCUGAGGCUCGAAAGCGUGGGGAGCAAACGG